AAAGCUGUGAAAGCUUAGCAGUUCAAAUUGCUAUCUAGAAGCUGCAAGAGGAACUAGCUAAUUUGUUCUUUUAUCAUUUUCAUCUCACAGUCUGGGCUCUAAUUGAAUGGGAGGGAACUGGUAGUGAGUGAUAUACUGUACAUAUAAAAAAAGAAAACUUAGUGAAACUUAAAGCUAAGAGAAAAUCCAGAGAAAGGUACAGAUUCUGCUUGGAAGGGCUAGAAGAAGGGACUGCAGCUCACUGAGGCAGAAAGCAGAAUCAUUCUUCCACAUUAGCAGAGAGACAAUUAUUAGAUUACAAGAUUGAUGGCAUCGCCUAUUUUCCCCCAGGAUCUGAUAGUGGAGCUGAAGGAAAUUGAGCCGGAGGCCGGGCCGUAUGAGAAUGAGCAACCUCAGAAGAGCACUGCAGACCCGUACCUGAUCAGCACUACAACUGGUGGGAUGGAAAACUCCUGCCACAGCUGCCUGCUAGGGUUUGGAAUAGUAACACUUUUGAUCGGCGUAUCAGUUGCAUGUUUGUCGUAUGCAACUCAUUUGCAUGACAAAGUUCUCUUAGCUGUGGGGCACUUAAUUCUGUUCAUGGGCAUCUCAGUAACUGCGUUCAGUUGCAUUUGGAGACGCUACAGGAAAAAAAGAAAGGCCAAGAUGAAUAAUGAUUUGGAAGAAUUGUUUUCGGAGAAUAAACAGAAAAAAAUCAAAAUAUAACAGACGUCCAGUUAAUAAAUACUUCAGUCCUGCAUCUUAUGGUGAGAAAGAUUGUAUUCUGCAUAUUGCAAACAGUCAACUGAACAUGGACUAUAAAACCUGCUUAUCCCUCCUCUUUUCUCAUUACAUAAACAUUAUGGGAGCCAUACAUCUGCUGCAUAUUGCCCCAACACUGCCAACACUGGAGCAUAUAACAGUUUAUCAAAAAGAAAAGGAAAUGCAAUUCUGCGCAUCCACAGCUGACACUGGGGUCAGGGAAUUGGGGAAAUCCAAUAUGAUGAAUUUCCCCAAUUUGCCUAUUCCGACCAAAAUAUGAUCUGCAUUCCUAAAUCAAGAAUUUAUAACAUGCAGAAUUUCCCUGAAUCCUCAACGGAUCACAAGUCUUCGCUGGCUGCCGAUUGUGUUUUUGAUCGUUGUAUUGGGGAACCGCCGCGCUAAUGCAUGGUCCGAAUUACUCAAGCUAAUCUGGAGCCUGGGUCCAAAACUUUACUUGAUCCAAGUUACGUUAAAUAUUUGUGUUCACUUAAAUUUGCUGCUGAGUAAAUAUACUAUUGUCACGCAGCAUAUUCUACAGCUAUCACUGAAGGCAUACCUCCCAAUAAUAAGGGGCUUGCCAUCAUGACAAUGUGGGUGUGACUUUGGUGUAUGGGGGCAUGGCUUGGACAGAGCAGUGUGCGGUUUGGGUGGAUCACGGUAGGAGAUAUUGGGACAAUUUGGCAUCUUGGCGGUAUGCUGAAGAGAGUGAACACAUUGAAAUCAAAUAAAUAUUUAUUUAUGAUAAACAGAUUUUAUGUAACGGUCACAUAUCUACACAGUGUCCAUAAUGUAAAAUGUUGAAGAAGAACACUUUGCGUUUUGCUCUAAGAAAGGACACACUUAUUCAUAGAUGUGCACGCACAUUGGCAGAUUUUCCAUACAUAUUAGGAAAUACUAAGGGCAUAUUAAUGUAUCUGGCUGUCAAUCUUUUGCAGUUGUUUGUUGUACUUUAAAGGGUGAAAAGAAGACAAAUAAAGGCUUAAUUUUACUAAG